GCUUAUCCAUUCCACUAUAGACAUUUGGGUUGCUACUAUAUUUUGGUUAUUAUGAAUAAUGCAGCUAUAAACAUGAAUGCAUGUAUAUCUCUUCCAGACCCUGUUUUGAAUAUAUCUCCAGAAGUAGAAUUGCUGAAUCACAAGAAACUAUAUUGAAGUAAAGUUGAACUAAGAUUAUGUGAUGUUCUCUGUGGGCACAGCCUCCAUUUUUACCUCGGUCUAGUGUUGGAUGAUGUUCCUGCUGUACUAUGCAAACUGGUCACAGGCCUCUCUUCACUUGUUCAGUAGACACGUUUAGGAGCCAGACACCAAGGAUUGGCUGAAGACACAGAGCUAACUAUGAAGAGGAGCUUGGAGCUCGUGUCCUGCUGUAGGGAGGAACUGGCACAUGGACGAAGUGAUAACACAGAGGGAACCCGUCUUACCACAUACGGGUACAAGGAAGACACCAGAAGGAAGACACCACAUGUGAGCAUGGGAGGCAGAGGUCUGAGAAAGUUCACAGAUAAACUUCUAUUUGAAUUCAGUCCUUAGGAGGCCUGGGAUUCCCAGCCAGCCUGUCCUUCUAACGGAAUUUGGUCAGAGAAAGCAGCACGUGGAGAGUCCAGCUGGGGAGGACAGACUACAGCGUGUCUUUGAACCACUUGUGGCUGGAUGCGGCUCCCACUCAGGUGGCAAUGCAGGGAAAGAGAUCAGGGCUAAUUUUGUAUGCUACGCCAAACAGUGUAGUUUUUAUUGGUAGGCAAUGGAUAUCAAUGACACUCACAAUUAUCACCACUGGAUGUGAUAUAUAGACCCUACUUUUCUCCUUCCCAGUGGUUGCCAGCAUUGACAUCCUGUGGAUUACUAUGAAUUAGAGGCUUUGGCUGUCCGAACGAUGCUCUAGGGUGACUGGGGUGGCCGGAAUGGGACAGCCAAGUUGUGGGGUUUUCUGAUAGCCUUUGGAGGCAGCCCGGAUCCAACUGCAUUUGCAUAGAUCACAUUGUUCCAGCUGAUAAAUGCACAAACACCCAUAGUAGGCCUCUCUAGCCGCUUCUCCAAGGAAGGCCCACAAAAGCUCUCUAAUGAGUUUGAAGUGAUCCCUCAACACCCCCUUUCUGUCUCUAUUCUGUGUUAAAUGAGGAGGGAAAAGGCACUGCGGCAUUUUUCCAGAUAUACAGACUUCCGCAAUGAGUCUGCAAUGAAUGGCCUAAUAUGGAUCCAGUGUUUCAUAUUGUGUUAAAUUCGUUUGUGUAAAUCCUAUUGUGUAUAUCAGUUUGAUACAAAAAACAUGUAUUGGCUCUUAAUACUUACAUGACAUGUGCUAAGAAUGUCUGUGAGUUCCAGAAUCUUCCACAAACACACGCCAUAGCACAAGAAGACAAAAUGCAUGAGUUAUAAAAGAGUAUUUUCUCCUGCAUUAUAUACGACUGAAAGAAAGAUAAGAGGCAUAUGUAUAUCUGAUUAAUUGAUGGCAGGGUAGGAAGAAAAGCAGGAACAAAUUUAUGAUGACAUUUGAAGGGGGGUGGUUCCUAAUAGUGGAAACAGCAAGAGGGAAGCCCUCCAAAUAAAUAAAGUUAUAAACGUUAACCUCAAUUUUGAAAGAAAUGAGCACAUU